rnacentral:rRNA from 1 species
GACGUAGGGGACGAGCGUUGUCCGGAUUUAUUGGGCGUAAAGCGCGCGCAGGCGGCUUGGUAAGUCGGGUGUGAAAAUCCGAGGCUCAACCUCGGACGUGCACCUGAAACUGCCAGGCUAGAGGUAGGUAGGGGAGAUCGGAAUUCCUGGUGUAGCGGUGAAAUGCGCAGAUAUCAGGAGGAACACCGGUGGCGAAGGCGGAUCUCUGGGCCUUACCUGACGCUCAGGCGCGAAAGCUAGGGGAGCAAACGGG